GCUAAUGUAGCUUAAUUUAAAGCAUAGCACUGAAAAUGCUAAGAUAAAUUUUAAAAACUUUCAUAAGCG
rnacentral:tRNA from 1 species